CAGUGUUCAGAUUUCUGUUCCGAACUGCCCGAGUACUCUCUGUCUCGGAGAACCCUCUCCUCGCAGAUACGUGGCUUGCUUGGUUGCAGCAAGCCGGUGCGCUCAUCCUGGCGGAACGCGACACCGCCUGCCUCCCUCUCGCGAUCCACUCCGGCGUCGAGGGCUGCUCUGUUCAGAUGAGCAAGGAGCAUCAAGAAGCUCCAGAGCUAGGUCCUUGAGCUGCAGCGCCAGCUUGCUCACUGGCCCGGCGAGGCCUGGGAGAAGCAGGGCAGCACGUCGUGUUCUGAAUCCUUCGCUGCCACUGAAAACAUGCAGUACCAGUGAAAUGGCAGGGUCCUGGUUGUGAAUGGCUGAGCACGCCAAAAACAAGUGAAAGGAGCCUUCAGUUGUCAAGCCAUGAUAGAGAGAUCGCUAGUGGAGGCGCUGGCCACAACAGCGCAGGGAGGCACCACGGGGACGUGCUAGACAUGCUCAAGAACACUGGGCUGCCUAUCGCCAAGGUGUUCAUUGUCUGCUUCAUGUGGUUCCUUAUGGCCGCCAAGUACAAAUCAACAUCCUUUGGCAAUAGCCUCCAAGUUAGGACAUGCUCAUUGUCUGCAUGUUGACUCUGUAUGUCAGAAUGUAAGCAAAAAUUUUGGUAGUGUAUCUGUAGAGAAUAGAGAAAAUAAGACCCAUUUCCUAUCCCUUUUUCAAUUUUUUUAUUCAUCAUAUCAGACUGGUUUCAAUGUUACCCGUUUGUGAUAUGAGUCAUUACAAACGGUUUUUUGCCCGUCUUCAGAUCACAGACGUGACUACAUACCGUCUGUGAUGUAUGUUAGUACCCAUCUAUAAUAUGACUUCUUUUGUGGUAGUGUAUGAUGCAGAAACGGAUGAUAAUCAGAGGAUUAGCAAAAAAAAUGUUCCUGCUUGUUUU